rnacentral:misc_RNA from 1 species
AACGGUCUAUACCUGCGGUACCUGCGGAGGGAUCAUUACAGAGUUGCAAAACUCCAAACCAUUGUGAACUUACCUUUGCCGUUGCUUCGGCGGGCGGCCCGGGUCCCGACCCGGCGCCCCCCGGCCCCGUCAGGGGCGCCCGCCGGAGGUAAACCAAACUCUUGAAUUGUAUGGCCUCUCUGAGUCUUCUGUACUGAAUAAGUCAAAACUUUCAACAAUGGAUCUCUAGAUCGGAAGAGC